rnacentral:tRNA from 1 species
GGAGACGUCGCAUAGUCCGGUCGAGUGCACCACCCUGCUAAGGUGGAGACCCCUUUGAGGGGUCCGAGGGUUCAAAUCCCUCCGUCUCCGCCA